rnacentral:rRNA from 1 species
AUUGAACGCUGGCGGCAUGCCUUACACAUGCAAGUCGAACGGCAGCACGGGGCAACCUGGUGGCGAGUGGCGAACGGGUGAGUAAUGCAUCGGAACGUACCUUUCAGUGGGGGAUAACGUAGCGAAAGUUACGCUAAUACCGCAUAUUCUGUGAGCAGGAAAGCAGGGGAUCACAAGACCUUGCGCUGAUUGAGCGGCCGAUGUCAGAUUAGCUAGUUGGUGAGGUAAAGGCUCACCAAGGCGACGAUCUGUAGCGGGUCUGAGAGGAUGAUCCGCCACACUUGAACUGAGACACGGUCCAGACUCCUACGGGAGGCAGCAGUGGGGAAUUUUGGACAAUGGGGGCAACCCUGAUCCAGCCAUGCCGCGUGAGUGAAGAAGGCCUUCGGGUUGUAAAGCUCUUUCGGCCGGGAAGAAAUCGCACGGGCUAAUACCCUGUGUGGAUGACGGUACCGGAAUAAGAAGCACCGGCUAACUACGUGCCAGCAGCCGCAGUAAUAC